GAGGGUAUAGGUUAGGGAUAGACUGUAUGCUUAAUGUGCACAAGGUUCUGGGUUCAAUCCCCAGUACCUCCA
rnacentral:tRNA from 1 species